UAGCUAGCUACGUACAUUUCCAACAAACAUGUUUGAAGAGAUUGACUUGGAGUCUGAUUUCGCUUUGUUGGAAUCCAUUCGCCAACACCUACUCGACGAUAAUUUCGACACCACUUUCGAUCUCGAAGCAUCAUCUCCAACAGUUUCGGGCUCUCCUCCUCCAAUCUACUGCCGCAGUUUCAGCUUCGGCACCCUUUUCUCCGCAGAGAAUGGGAGCAACUCGCCGCUAAAAGGGGACAGCGACUGCGACGAUAUUGCCCUUUCCGGUGCCGUGCCUGAUGAAUUUAGGGCAUCGGCAGUGAAAACGGAGCCUUGGGAGGUGGUAGAGGUAGUAGAGGAGGAGCGUGAUACAGCAUCGGCAGUGAAAACGGAGUCUCGGGAGGUCACAGAGGUAGUAGAAGAGGAGAGUGUGGCGGAGCGUGAGACUCACGCGCCGUCGUUGGGGAGGCACUUUCGGGGAGUGAGGCGGAGGCCGUGGGGGAAGUACGCGGCGGAGAUCAGGGAUCCGAAGAAAAACGGCAGCAGAGUGUGGCUUGGGACCUACGAAACGGCUGAGGACGCUGCAUUGGCUUAUGACCAAGCUGCUUUUAAGAUGCGCGGCUCCAAAGCAAAGCUCAACUUCCCUCACCUUAUCGGCUCAGGGGGAUCGCUUCCGGUUAGAAUAACUCCCAAGCGGCGGUCACCGGAAACUUAUUCGUCAUCUUCGUCUUCAACUUCGGAGAGCUGCUCGCCGAAGCCAAAAAGGCAAAACCUUGGAGUCGGGCCGGUGGCGGCCGAUCGAGGCGGAGUCCGGUGGCUCGAGCCGAGUGGAGAUAGUUGAGACGAGUCAGUUGGCUGUUGUUGAUCAGUUGCUUAAUGAUUUUAAUACUACAGUGGUGUCCAUGCCUCAAGAAGUAAUGAACUAA